rnacentral:rRNA from 1 species
UGUGAAGGAAAGGUGAAAAGAACCCCGGGAGGGGAGUGAAAUAGAACCUGAAACCGCAUACAUACAAACAGUAGGAGCCCCUGCAGUGGGGUGACUGCGUACCUUUUGCAUAAUGGGUCAGCGACUUACGUUUUGUGGCGAGCUUAACCGAGUAGGGGAGGCGUAGCGAAAGCGAGUUCGAAUAGAGCGAGAAGUCUCAAGGCGUAGACCCGAAACCAGAUGAGCUAUCCAUGGCCAGGUUGAAGGUGUGGUAACACACACUGGAGGACCGAACCGACUAGUGUUGCAAAAUUAGCGGAUGAGCUGUGGAUAGGGGUGAAAGGCUUAACAAAUCUGGAGAUAGCUGGUUCUCCCCGAAAACUAUUGAGGUAGUGCCUCGUGUAUUGCUCCAGGGGGUAGAGCACUGUUAUGGCUAGGGGGACAUGGCGUCUUACCAAACCAUGGCAAACUCCGAAUACUUGGAAGUGUGAGCGCGGGAGACAGAGCACCGGGUGCUAACGUCCGGACUCAAAAGGGAAACAACCCAGACCGCCGGCUAAGGUCCCUAAUAUUUGCUAAGUGGAAAACGAAGUGGAAAGGCUAAGACAGUCAGGAAGUUGGCUUAGAAGCAGCCAUCCUUUAAAGAAAGCGUAAUAGCUCACUGAUCGAGUCUUUCUGCGCGGAAGAUGUAACGGGGCUAAGUCAAUAACCGAAAGCGCGGAUUUGUACGAAAGUACAAGUGGUAGGGGAGCGUUCUGUAAGCCUGCGAAGGUGGUUCGAGAGGACUGCUGGAGGUAUCAGAAGUGCGAAUGCUGACAUGAGUAACGUUAAAGCGGGUGAAAAGCCCGCUCGCCGUAAGCCCAAGGUUUCCUGCUCUACGUUCAUCGGAGCAGGGUGAGUCGGCCCCUAAGGCCAGGCUGAGAAGCGUAGUCGAUGGGAACAAGGUUAAUAUUCCUAGACCAUUGUCAAGUAUGCGAUGGGGGGACGGAGUGUGAAAGAUGAUCCGGGUGUUGGAUAUCCCGGUUUGUGAGAGUAGAAGGAAGGCAGGCAAAUCCGCCUUCGGAUCUUCGAGUCAAAACAUCGAUUCUCCACGUGAGAAGAAGUCAUCGGAAGUGCUUCCAAGAAAAGCCUCUAAGUGGUAGCUUGACAAGACCGUACCGCAAACCGACACUGGUGGGCGAGUUGAAUAUACUAAGGCGCUUGAGAGAACUCGGGAGAAGGAACUCGGCAAAUUGACACCGUAACUUCGGGAGAAGGUGUGCCUUUGUAGCGUGAGAGAAGAAACAUCUUAAGCGUGAAGAGGCCUCAGAGAAUAGGUGGCUGCAACUGUUUACUAAAAACAUAGCACUCUGCAAAGAUGAAAGUCGACGUAUAGGGUGUGAUGCCUGCCCGGUGCUGGAAGAUUAAGUGAUGGGGUGAGAGCUCCUGAUCGAAGUCCCAGUAAACGGCGGCCGUAACUAUAACGGUCCUAAGGUAGCGAAAUUCCUUGUC